GGGAAAAUACAGGAAAAAACUUGCAUGGGGUGCAAGGGGUCGGAGGUUCGAAUCCUCUCACCCA
rnacentral:tRNA from 1 species